rnacentral:lncRNA from 1 species
UGCCAGGACCUUACCUUGAGUGGCCCGGGUGCCGCCCUCUUCAGGCAGAGUUGGAGGUGCUGCGGAGAAGCCGGUGGCCCUGCGGCUGCGAGUGAAGAGGCUGGUGCGCGUGCUGGACCCUGGUCCUGGGGGCACCGAAAGUCGAUCUCUUUGCCCUCCGCCAUCACCACAGUGAAGUACAUGUACUUGCCCUUGCGCUCCACGCAGUCUACAGUCUUCAUAUUGGAAAAGUGCAAUUCCUUCAGCUUGACUGGAGGCUCAAGGCUGGCGACGGCGGGGACACUAGGUUGGGACGGUUCGGCUGUCCCCUGCCCGGGCUGUUGUUGCUGCUGCUGCUGCUGCUGCUGUUGUAGUUGCUUGGGCGGUAUGAGCAGUAGCCCUUCCUCGGUGAGGAUGCAGCACUUUUUCUUCCAGAGCUGCAGCAGCCCGUCGCUUCGCUUUUCCAGCACUCCUUCCUUCAGCGCCUUGCAGCCGCUGCUCUCCAGCAUCCUUCCGGCAUAAGGGGUGCUGCUGCCCCGCUCGGCCUUCAGGCUUCCAGACGCUCCGGCUGGGGGUAGCAGUAGCAGCCCUGCGCCGUCCUCGCCCCAGCGGCUUCCGCGGACGCCGGCCCGGAGAGCGCAGAGGAGGCUGACUCGCAGGAGACAGAGCGGUGGCGGUGGCGGUGGCGGCGGUGGCUCGGGGUCCCGGCAGAGGGACAGACGCGUCCUGACUCGCCACAAGAUCCCGGAGCCGUGAGCGGGCUGCUCUCUGCCGUCC